GACGUAGGAUGCAAGCGUUGUCCGGAUUUAUUGGGCGUAAAGAGUUCGUAGGUGGUAUAUUAAGUCUGGUGUUAAAGCCCGAGGCUCAACCUCGGAUCGGCACUGGAUACUGAUAAACUAGAGUGUGGUAGAGGCAAGGGGAAUUCCUAGUGUAGCGGUGAAAUGCGUAGAUAUUAGGAGGAACACCAGUGGCGUAAGCGCCUUGCUGGGCCAUAACUGACACUGAGGAACGAAAGCCGGGGUAGCAAAUAGG
rnacentral:rRNA from 1 species